AAGACAGGGACACUCAAAAAACAAACAAACACAAACAAACACCCUUAUCGCCUCUGUUUCCAUCGACUUUUUUUUCUUUUUCGCUUUUUUCUUUUUUCUUUUCUCCUUA
rnacentral:ribozyme from 13 species